GACGAACGCUGGCGGCGUGCCUAAUACAUGCAAGUCGAGCGAAGUUUUUCUGGUGCUUGCACUAGAAAAACUUAGCGGCGCACGGGUGAGUAACACGUAAAGAACCUGCCUCAUAGACUGGGACAACUAUUGGAAACGAUAGCUAAUACCGGAUAACAGUAUUUCUCGCAUGAGAGAUAUUUAAAAGUUGGUUAUGCUAACACUAUGAGAUGGCUUUGCGGUGCAUUAGCUAGUUGGUGGGGUAAAGGCCCACCAAGGCGACGAUGCAUAGCCGACCUGAGAGGGUGAUCGGCCACACUGGGACUGAGACACGGCCCAGACUCCUACGGGAGGCAGCGGUAGGGAAUCUUCCGCAAUGGGCGAAAGCCUGACGGAGCAACGCCGCGUGAGUGAAGAAGGAUUUCGGUUCGUAAAGCUCUGUUGUUAGGGAAGAAUGGAUAUGUAGUAACUAUACAUGUAAGAGACGGUACCUAACCAGAAAGCCACGGCUAACUACGUG
rnacentral:rRNA from 1 species